UCCUCGGGAAGCUCCCCGUGCUCAUCCUCCCGCGCCCGGGGCGGGUUCCCGGGCCGCCGCACAGACCUAGCCUCGGGCCCACGUCGCUCCCCGGGCCCGGGCGUUCGGUGCUGCAUCCGGCGGCCGGAGCUGAGCCCAGGCGCGCGAGCAGCCAGCCACUCAUGGCAGCAAGUCCAGAUCUUGCCUGUGCCUGUGGCAGGAAUGCGGGGGCGCGAUCACCGUUGUGUGUGCACCGGGGACGGCAGUCCUCCUCCAGGCCGUCCCGCGGCCAACGCCUCUGCACCGCUCGGGCCUCCGUUUCAAAGCCCCUCCCCUCUCCUCGGGCACCACCAGCACCGGCCUUUCUCCGUGUUCUUCGCGGUGGAACGGCGCAGUGAGGACUGACAUGUCCACCGCCCAGCUCCAACAACAUUCACUCAUCACCAGCUUCUUGCAUGCAGCCUCCCCGUCUAGCUAUUUUGAAGCAAAUGCUCUACUUUGUAUCAUUCCGCUUGUAGCUACGUCAGCACACGUCUCUAAAGACUGAAGGGCACAAUGUUGCUAACUACGUUACACAACAGGCCUCCGGAACUUAACUAGCAUAAUUGAAAC